rnacentral:rRNA from 1 species
AGAGUUUGAUCAUGGCUCAGGAUAAACGCUGGCGGCGCACAUAAGACAUGCAAGUCGAACGAACUUAACCAUUAGUUUACUAUUGGAGCGGUUAGUGGCGGACUGGUGAGUAACACGUAAGCAACCUGCCUAUCAGAGGGGAACAACAGUUAGAAAUGACUGCUAAUACCGCAUAUGCCUUAGAAUCACAUGGUUCGAAAAGGGGAAAAGGAGCAAUCCGCUGAUAGAUGGGCUUGCGU